AUUGAACGCUGGUGGCAGGCCUAACACAUGCAAGUCGAGUGGAGCGGCGGACGGGUGAAUAAUGCCUAGGAAUCUGCCUGGUAGUGGGGGAUAACGUCUGGAAACGGGCGCUAAUACCGCAUACUAUCAGAUGAGCCUAGGUCGGAUUGGCUAGUUGGUGGGGUAAAGGCCUACCAAGGCGACGAUCCGUAACUGGUCUGAGAGGAUGAUCAGUCACACUGGAACUGAGACACGGUCCAGACUCCUACUAUGAUCAUCAGUUUAAAAUAUUGGACAAUGGGCGAAAGCCUGAUCCAGCCAUGCCGCGUGUGUGAAGAAGGUCUUCGGGUUGUAAAGUACUUUCAGCGGGGAGGCGUUACCCGCAGAAGAAGCACCGGCUAACUCCGUGCCAGCAGCCGCGGUAAUAC
rnacentral:rRNA from 1 species